CCCUUAGAUGUUCUGGGCCGCACGCGCGCUACACUGAUGCGUUCAACAAGUAUACAACCUUCAUCGAUAGAUGUGGGUAAUCUUUUGAAUGCGCAUCGUGAUUGGGAUAGAUGAUUGCAAUUUUUCAUCUUCAACGAGGAAUACCUAGUAAGCGCGAGUCAUCAGCUCGCGUUGAUUACGUCCCUGCCCUUUGUACACACCGCCCGUCGCUACUACCGAUUGAAUGGUUUAGUGAGAUCUCCGGAUUGGCGUCUUUGCGGCUUCACGGCUGCGAUGAUGCCGAAAAGUUGAUCAAACUUGAUCAUUUAGAGGAAGUAAAAGUCGUAACA
rnacentral:rRNA from 1 species